rnacentral:lncRNA from 1 species
GCUGUCAGGGUGCUGCCGACAUUCAAAUACACCUCCGCCACCUGCUAGCUACAUCAGAAGAAAUUACGUCAAAAUCCAGCUUGGGGGAGAGCACCCCCAUUUAUCCAGCUAAGUGUUCUACUCACGUUUAUAUUUUACUCAAAUAAUAAAAAGAUGCAUAAUCAUAAAAACCCAAAUAAAGAUUUUGUGCUUAUAUAUAUCCUUGCUUAGUUUGCUAAAUAAAUAAAUAAAUAAAGUUUGCUAUGAACCCUCAUGACAAGCUCUCACAUAGAAAUGAUGAAUAGUUGCUCUGCCAUGACUAGUUCUAAAAAUUGAAAUGUCUCUCAAGUUUAGGCAUGACUGGUAUUAAUUAAAAUUUGCUCUAAACCUAAACUUGUGGGGGAGUACUUGAUCUAAAGUCUAAGUCAUUAACGGAUACGAUAUAGGAAGGUUGAGCUGUUGUUUAUCUGUUCCUAGAGAUGCUAGAAUUCUGGAGAAUUUUAUCUUUGAAAAUCUUUAAAAUGUUGCAUGAUGAGUUCCUGUAUGAUGAGAGUUUAAAUUCCUACCACAGCCAUAUAUACAUGCUUGCUAAACUUUGAGCCACACAUUUACUUUUUACUGCUUAUGAGCAUUGAGUGUGGUCAAGCUGUAUAGACCCUUAGGAGCUUGUCAUGCGGUUAAAAUCAAGAUUCACUUGCACGUUCACUCACACAUGCUGCUUCUACUCUGGAAGUACGCAUCCACAUAUAUCCACCCAUUUCCAUCCAAAAAUAUUCUACUCCUAAUCCGGGAGAGAAUAGCCAAAAACAUUUCUGUUUUCCCUUGUGAAAUAAAUGCUCAAGUUAUCUUGGUUACUACCACUUGCUAUAUUAUUUCAGGAAAUGAGUGCUCUAAAAAAAAGAAGAUACGAGGAAAUAAAAAGGGGCAAGUGCCCGGAACCUCGAAAGAAAAGAAAAAAGUGAGACGAGAGGUAAAAAUGGACAAGUGUCCGACAGUAGAAUUAGGGGUACAAGAUACCCACCUGAGAGAAAAGAAAAAGAAAAUAUAGAGCUUCUCAUUCUCCUCAAAAAGUUUCAAAAGUAGAAUUAGACUUUCACUAUUGUUAUCACGAUCAUUACCAUGCACCAUUCAUUCACCACACAUGCACAUCUUGAUUUGACUUAUUGACUUGUUCUUUUGGAUUCAUGGUUUGACUAUGCAAUAAAUGUCUUGUAAGUAUGUAUUAGCUGUCUCCCACCUAUGAGCUCUAGAUAUCAAAAGCCUUAUCAGAGUAGGGUGAGAGAGAAGGCAAUGUCACUAUGCCUUAUACCACAAAUACCACAUACUUUGAGAGAAGGCAUAUACCAUUACUGCCUUGGUAAGGAUCCAGAAAUACCACAAAAGAGAGACUAGAGAGAGUCAUACAAGGAAUCUCUGAGUUUUAUUUGAAAAUCUGCAAAAACUCCAGAGCUAUAGUUAAUCGAAGAACAAGAGACAUGGCGCUUGACUAGACCGUUCUAUCUUUAAACUGCUCAAGACAUAAGUGACGGUUGCAAGCCCCAUGGUGGAAGGUAAAAUGAGUAAGUUUAAAUCUUAACAGUUUACCCUAACCCAG